rnacentral:tRNA from 1 species
GCCUUCGUGGUAUAGUGGUUAGAACGUUCGACCCGUAAACGAGAGGUCGGUGGUUCGAUUACCGGCGAAGGCG